UAGUCCACGCCGUAAACGAUGGUCACUAGCUGUUCGGACUUCGGUCUGAGUGGCCAAGCGAAAGUGAUAAGUGACCCACCUGGGGAGUACGUUCGCAAGAAUGAAACUCAAAGGAAUUGACGGGGGCCCGCACAAGCGGUGGAGCAUGUGGUUUAAUUCGAUGAUACGCGAGGAACCUUACCAGGGCUUAAAUGUACGUUGCAUAAUUCAGAGAUGAAUUUUUCUUCGGACUACGUACAAGGUGCUGCAUGGUUGUCGUCAGCUCGUGCCGUGAGGUGUCAGGUUAAGUCCUAUAACGAGCGCAACCCCUGUCGCUAGUUGCCAGCAAGUUAUGUUGGGUACUCUAGUGAAACUGCCGGUGCAAACCGAGAGGAAGGUGGGGACGACGUCAAAUCAUCACGGCCCUUAUGUCCUGGGCUACACACGUGCUACAAUGGCCGGUACAGAGAGCAGCCACUACGCGAGUAGGAGCGAAUCUAUAAAACCGGUCUCAGUUCGGAUCGG
rnacentral:rRNA from 1 species